UCCAAGAAUCCUUGAUAAGCAAUUUUAUGAUCGGCCUCAAAACUUCUAAAUCGUUCACCCGUCGCCUUCACAGAAUACACGUAACUCGGUGGGCAAGAGAAAAACGCUUCAGCUACGGACUCGAGCGGAUCUUCUAAUCCCCAAUGAAACAAAUAGUUCAGUAUACAUUGUAGUUCGUGGUUCUCAGUGUUCUGAUGUAGUUCCAUCAAUGAAUCGACAAACGUUCGAUCGCUUGUAAACCAUACAUUUGCCAUCGUUCGUUUUCGUUCAUCAUGGGGCAGUCAUGUUGCCUUUAACUAGGAUGACCGACUUGACAACCAUUACAGGAUUCCACACAAAGUCUUUCAACUUCUUGUGCGACUGCAUUCGCAUAUAUUCCUUCCAAUAAAUUGUAAGAUGUGGCUUUUCCAUGCAGACACUCCAUCGUAUGGCUUUCACAACGAAAUGGCAAUAUAGCUAUAGCAAGCGUUGUCUUUUG